UCACAUCUUGAAGUCUAUCUGAUGUGCCAUAUGACGUGUCUCUUCUGAGCGUUGCCUCCGUGAUCAACCUGCCCUCUUCUGAAGGUAUAGCAAAUCUCAAACUGUUAAAUUGUUUUUGUUCGCAUCUCUUUUUGUUUUUUUCCUGAAAAUAUUUACAAGUGUAUUGAUUUAGAAAUUUUGUUCAUACGUAUCCCUGGAACCCAUACUUUUAAGACCCGGCUCGGUGGUCGGCCCGGUUUAAGACCUAGGUUCCGGGUUUUGACUGGGUCCCGGGUCUCGACCGGGUCGGCCGGGUCAAAAUUUAUUUUUUAAUUUUUUUUAAAAAAAUCAAAACGACGUCGUUUUACCAAAAAAAAACUAAAAAAAAAUAAAAGUCAACGGGUUUGGGGCUGGGUGUUGAUCGGGUCUUGCCGGGUCAACCUUGUCCCGGGUCGACCGGGUCUGGCCGGGCCAAUUCCCAAACGGGUUUUGGCCUUUACCCGGACCGGUCCCAUGCCCGGGUCGGCCGGGUCCCGGGUCAACCCGCCGGGCCGAUCCGGGUUUUAAAACUAUGCUGGAACCUAGUAGUGUCUCAGUGUUCUUGUCUUUCGGUUAGUUGAAGGUUGUGAAGUGAACAUUUAUAGAGAGACACAGGAGCCAAACCCCGGGAGGUUGAGAUAGAUUGCCUAAGAUUCAAGGAACCCAUUUUGGUUGUGUUUUUCCAGGCUAUUCUAUCUUGUUUCAACGUUCUUUCCCCUUUUGUUUUCUUGUGUCAUCAGUUGAUUGUCUUCUCGUGUUUAUGUCGUGUGAUUCGUUCGUUUCUUUUUCUUGAGCCCAAAGGUUCGAAGAGUUGCUUCAAAGGUAGAGAAAGAUUUAAUUUGAGAUGGGAUAGAAGUGUUAGAGAAUAAUAUAAAUUAUAUUUUUAGAUUUUACCUAACAGCUUAAACUAUUGGGUUGAAUUGGUUUUAUAACAUAAUAUCAGAACCUUAUGACUAAGCGAUUAUGAAUUCAAAUCUCAUCAUUUCCGUCUGUUCAAGUUUCAAGCCUAAAGAAUUUUCACUUGAAAAGAUGUGUUAGAGAAUAAUAUAAAUCAUAUCUUGAGAUCUUACCUGACAGCUUAAGCUAUUAGGUUGAGGUGAUUCUUUGACAAAAAGCAUCAAUUUCUAAUUUUUUAGUACCUAUUUAAUUUCUUUGAUUCUCAUUUAAUCCAAGCUUUUUUUCCCAUCAUUUUUGCUUCUUAGUUCAAUCUGCAUUGCUUCGCUUCGGGGCUUAAGCGUAUUGCAGACAGGGCAACCUUGUUAUCAAACCCCCCUAACCAAGCUAAUGAUGCCUUGUGAUCCGUCCAUUGCUUCUGAAAGUGAAGGUUACAGAAGUAAUAGUGCACUGAAUCCUUCUUUGGUGGCGAGGGGUGAGGGAGUCUAUCCUGCUGCUGAAGCCGCAGCAGAGUGCCUCUCAGAGCUUGCUCUCCAAAGAGGAAGCCAAGACAAUAUCACCGCUCAUAGGAAAUUGGGAAGGAGAACGGUGUAGUAACUUGCGUCGCCCAUGGAUUACCUGUAACUCCUUAAUCAUCAACAUAUUUAAACUGCAAUAUAUGGGAAUUACCUUGACUGGUUUUUGCAAAUCUCAUUUUGGCUGAUUGCUUAUUCAUUUGAUUCCUACUUGGUAGACAUUUCAGUGUUUCCCAACUUGUACUGGAGCUAGUUUCGAGCUUAGAAUGUAAUCUUGGGAGUUUGGUGGAGGUUUCGGGUCGUGAUAUUCCAGUCUUCAAGCUGUUCAAACCCCCCACCUCACACCGUAAAUACUCGCUCACAGGUGUAGAAGCAGGGUAUGUUAUGACAGUGUUUG
rnacentral:lncRNA from 1 species